GGCGCUGUGGCCUAGUUGGUUAAAGCGCCUGUCUAGUAAACAGGAGAUCCUGGGUUCGAAUCCCAGCAGUGCCU
rnacentral:tRNA from 1 species